rnacentral:rRNA from 1 species
GACUAACGCUGGCGGCGUGCCUAACACAUGCAAGUCGGACGAAUCAUCUUUUGUAGCAAUAUGGAGGAUGGUGAGUGGCGCACGGGUGAGUAACACAUAGACGAUCUGCCUUUCAGACAGGGACAACUCAGGGAAACUUGAGCUAAUACCGGAUAAGACCCCAUGAAGGGAUUCACGUGAUCAAAGGGGGGAGCAAUCUCCCGCUGGAAGAUGAGUCUAUGUCCUAUCAGCUAGUUGGUGGGGUAAGGGCCUACCAAGGCGAAGACGGGUAGCCGGCCUGAGAGGGUGAACGGCCACACUGGAACUGAGACACGGUCCAGACUCCUACGGGAGGCAGCAGUGAGGAAUUUUCCGCAAUGGGCGCAAGCCUGACGGAGCGACGCCGCGUGAGGGAUGAAGGUUUUCGGAUCGUAAACCUCUUUUACUAAGGAAAAAGGUUCUGAUGUUCAUACCAUCAGGAUUUGAUUGUACUUGAUGAAUAAGCCCCGGCUAACUACGUGCCAGCAGCCGCGGUAAUACGUAGGGGGCGAGCGUUGUCCGGAGUUACUGGGCGUAAAGCGCGUGUAGGCGGUUGUUUAAGUCAGGUGUGAAAUCCUUCGGCUCAACCGAGGAACUGCGCCUGAAACUGACCGACUGGAGUCUUGGAGGGGCAGCCGGAAUUCCUGGUGUAACGGUGAAAUGUGUAGAUAUCAGGAGGAACACCUGUGGCGAAAGCGGGCUGCUGGACAAUGACUGACGCUGAGACGCGAAAGCGUGGGUAGCAAACA